AGUGAGCGGCAAAAGCUCAAAUUUGAAAUCUGGCACUUCGGUGUUCGAGUUGUAAUUUGAAGAUGGUUACCUUGGGUUUGGCUCUUGUCUAUGUUCCUUGGAACAGGACGUCAUGGAGGGUGAGAAUCCCGUCUGACGAGAUGCCCAUUCCUAUGUUGAGUGCCAUCAAACAGUC
rnacentral:rRNA from 1 species